GACGAGGCUACCUAAAGAAAAGGAAUGCAAGGUCCAACAUGACCAGGCAAAAUCGGCCUUUUUUAGUCUUUUCUUAAUUUCUGUUACACGAUAAUGAGCAAAGAAGGGCAACUGUAAUAGGCCCAAUUUGCCCGGGCCCAAAACACAAACAAAAAAUAAACCAAAUAAAAAAAAUAAACAAAUAAAUAAAACAACAAUAGCAGUCCAUUUUUAAAUGUCCAAAUUACAGACCCAAAAUCUAACCCAACCCACUAAACCCAAUUAGCCUAAGCCCAAUACCA
rnacentral:lncRNA from 1 species